AAAUUGAAGAGUUUGAUCAUGGCUCAGAUUGAACGCUGGCGGCAGGCCUAACACAUGCAAGUCGAACGGUAACAGGAAUCAGCUUGCUGAUUCGCUGACGAGUGGCGGACGGGUGAGUAAUGUCUGGGAAACUGCCUGAUGGAGGGGGAUAACUACUGGAAACGGUAGCUAAUACCGCAUAACGUCGCAAGACCAAAGAGGGGGACCUUCGGGCCUCUUGCCAUCGGAUGUGCCCAGAUGGGAUUAGCUAGUAGGUGGGGUAACGGCUCACCUAGGCGACGAUCCCUAGCUGGUCUGAGAGGAUGACCAGCCACACUGGAACUGAGACACGGUCCAGACUCCUACGGGAGGCAGCAGUGGGGAAUAUUGCACAAUGGGCGCAAGCCUGAUGCAGCCAUGCCGCGUGUAUGAAGAAGGCCUUCGGGUUGUAAAGUACUUUCAGCGGGGAGGAAGGGAGUAAAGUUAAUACCUUUGCUCAUUGACGUUACCCGCAGAAGAAGCACCGGCUAACUCCGUGCCAGCAGCCGCGGUAAUACGGAGGGUGCAAGCGUUAAUCGGAAUUACUGGGCGUAAAGCGCACGCAGGCGGUUUGUUAAGUCAGAUGUGAAAUCCCCGGGCUCAACACGGAACUGCAUCUGAUACUGGCAAGCUUGAGUCUCGUAGAGGGGGGUAGAAUUCCAGGUGUAGCGGUGAAAUGCGUAGAGAUCUGGAGGAAUACCGGUGGCGAAGGCGGCCCCCUGGACGAAGACUGACGCUCAGGUGCGAAAGCGUGGGGAGCAAACAGGAUUAGAUACCCUGGUAGUCCACGCCGUAAACGAUGUCGACUUGGAGGUUGUGCCCUUGAGGCGUGGCUUCCGGAGCUAACGCGUUAAGUCGACCGCACGGGAGUACGGCCGCAAGGUUAAAACUCAAAUGAAUUGACGGGGGCCCGCACAAGCGGUGGAGCAUGUGGUUUAAUUCGAUGCAACGCGAAGAACCUUACCUGGUCUUGACAUCCACGGAAGUUUUCAGAGAUGAGAAUGUGCCUUCGGGAACCGUGAGACAGGUGCUGCAUGGCUGUCGUCAGCUCGUGUUGUGAAAUGUUGGGUUAAGUCCCGCAACGAGCGCAACCCUUAUCCUUUGUUGCCAGCGGUCCGGCCGGGAACUCAAAGGAGACUGCCAGUGAUAAACUGGAGGAAGGUGGGGAUGACGUCAAGUCAUCAUGGCCCUUACGACCAGGGCUACACACGUGCUACAAUGGCGCAUACAAAGAGAAGCGACCUCGCGAGAGCAAGCGGACCUCAUAAAGUGCGUCGUAGUCCGGAUUGGAGUCUGCAACUCGACUCCAUGAAGUCGGAAUCGCUAGUAAUCGUGGAUCAGAAUGCCACGGUGAAUACGUUCCCGGGCCUUGUACACACCGCCCGUCACACCAUGGGAGUGGGUUGCAAAAGAAGUAGGUAGCUUAACCUUCGGGAGGGCGCUUACCACUUUGUGAUUCAUGACUGGGGUGAAGUCGUAACAAGGUAACCGUAGGGGAACCUGCGGUUGGAUCACCUCCUUACCUUAAAGAA
rnacentral:rRNA from 1 species